GAGACAGGUAGCCCACAGUUACUCCCAGCAAGGGGAGGUGCCAGGUGGCAAGGAAAGGGCUCGGGGGAAAGUCAGAACAUCCUAGAAGGGACCAAUCCUUGACUGCAAGUUAGGGGGUCCCUGAGUUGGGACCCGGAAUCGAGGGCAUGUCCAGGUUCCCCUGCCAGCUGCUGACGGGGUGGAGGGGACGACUGGCGGGCACUGCUGAAGGAAGACAUUGGCACCCCGGCAGGGGAAGACGCGUGUAGAGACCUGGCCGGGGAGCUGAGUCACGAAGAGGCAGCAGCAGCGUGUGGCGCGACAGAAGGGGGCUGCAGACCCAGAAAGGCGGAGAGACGGCGUGUGCAGCCGUGGGACAGAGUGUCGACCUGGUGAGCUGUUACCCCCCGAACGGCCAGGAGGAGGCGCCAGCCGAGCGGAUGCUGUAAUUGGAGCACGGAUGAUUUAGCCCUAGGUUGAAGAAAAGUUUUCCAACUUACAACUCUUGAGUUAGUCACAUUCAUUUCCUGGAGCACGGGAGACUCAAAUACCUGAGGCUGCUGGACCUGUGACUUUUGGCAAGCAAGAGAAGCCGUUUUCUGUUCAAACCAGGACCCAGGAAGAGGAAAUGGAGCUAUGCAGUGCGCAUUUGGACUGGGAUGAGAGAAGUCAUGAGGGAAGCCUGGUUCUGAUUUGUCUAUACCGCCGAUUAAAUAAAAUACUUUGUUCGUUUUCAAUAACAAUGUGUCCCGUAAGUCUCGACUGAACACCGCCCACCCUUCAGCUAAGAUCACAGGAAACGGUUUCCUCACAUGUCUGGCAGCUUUGUUGGGUACUCCAGGCUUCUUUAAUGGUCUGAGAAAUCAUUUUAAUAUUUCUUAACGAGCCAAAGCUUUUGAAAAUUGUACCAGCCGUUCCCGGAGCUUUCCGUUUGAUCUCAAUGAAACCUCACCGUGACACUCUGUCCCUCAGCGUAGCAUCCUGGUGCCCUCAUAGUCACCACUUUCAUAUAUGAUAGGCUUUAUACAAUGCAUGCCUUGUGGGGUAUCCUUUUCAAAAUCUUGAUCUGUGGAGAACUAAUAUCCUGUUGGAUUGUGUGCAGGGCCAGAUUAACUCUUCUGUGGG